UACGGGGGGAGCAAGCGUUGUUCGGAUUUACUGGGCGUAAAGGGCGCGUAGGCGGCCACCGCGAGUCAGUUGUGAAAUCUCCGAGCUUAACUCGGAAAGGUCAACUGAUACUGCGGGGCUAGAGUGCGGAAGGGGCAACUGGAAUUCUUGGUGUAGCGGUGAAAUGCGUAGAUAUCAGGAGGAACACCGAUAGCGAAGGCAGCUCGCUGGGACGGUACUGACGCUGAGGCGCGAAAGCGUGGGGAGCGAACAGG
rnacentral:rRNA from 1 species